UUUUAUCGCACUAUGAAUUGCAUAUUAUUUUGAUACCGUAGCUGUAAGUUUGGCUCUAUUAUUGGCAGUUUUUAAUGCUGCAGGCAUAAUUAUUAUAAGUGCAAAUGAUGUACUGGGACUGACUAUCAAGCUAAUUGCAUGCCAUUUGUAAUCCUUAAUCCAUGAUUCGCCAAUCGCCAAGUUUACCCGCUAUAAGUUAUAGCCUAUAGCAUGAUAUAUAUACUAUGGGACAGAUUGAGGAUUGAGGAAAGUUCCCCUUUUCUGGAUCUCAGUCAAGACACUAGAUAAAGUUAUUAACCCGAGGCAUGUAGGCGGCCUCAGUUACAGUAGUCUGUCUGUGUGUCUGUCGCUCAAUUUGGCUUACCUGGUGAUUUAGGCAUAACAAUUUGUACGUAGGGAAACUUUAGCAUUAAAACUAAGGCUUAAUAUUUGGCAGUACAGUAUUGCAAAGAAGUCUUUGUUUCGCAGAAAAGGCGAGCUAAACCUAAGAAGCUUAUUGCGUACUACUAAACGCGGCUAUUAUUUGAAACAUUAAUUACCGUAAGACCUCGAUUUAACCCUUUCCCGGCUUUAGCCGUCAUAUGACGGCAGCGGUAGUGAUAAUUUUCAAAAAAUCGUUGUGGGCACUGUGUUGGAGCUAUGCACACACUGUAGGCACCAGCACAUGUGCAUUGGGCUGCUCUUUCACAUGGUAUCUUUAAUAUCUUGCCUUGAGGUACACUUUGUGCAGUACUGUCGAAAGAAAAGUGACCGUUUGAUAAUGGCUACAAGAUCUUUGUAGUACAACCUCAGCGAGGUUCUAGGGAAGCUAGACAGUGAGAAUAACGAUGCUUAUGGCCUUGUUGAGUAAUAGGACAGUGACUGGGAUCAUAUCAAGAGAGAAAACUACUUUUCAGAGAUCAAGUUAUAAACAUAGAGCCUGAAGAGCCGGAGGAAGAAGCUCCUGAGCAUGAACCAAAGUCCUGGACCUUGUGAAGAAAACAUUUCCCGGGAAAAGAGCGUCUGCCGAUACGACCUCGCAGAGAAGUUUCUGCUGAUCCUGAUUGAACCAUGUCACCGUGAGAACAUUGAGAACACUUACUUAGUGUUUUUAGUUACUUCAUGCCUUCAUACAAUAUUCUUUAUGUUCAUAA